UGUCCAGUCAGGUGUAUUGACCUUAGGUCAAUUUGUUCCCUCUAAAAGACUGUGUUCUGAUUGGUUUAGGCAUCAGUGAUCAAUAUCUCACUACCUAGAAAGCUUUGAUACUGUAUACAUGUAUUUAGUAGAAGUUAUUUUAAAUCAUUAAUAUAUUAGUUUUAAAUGGAUGGAAUUAUUAGUCAGAGACCAUUAACCUGAAUCACAGUGUGAUAGAACAGAUGAGUUGUUGUGGUGCAGCUGGUGAUGUUUUCUAUAGUGAUGAUGCAUUUAAGUCCACAACUUGGAUGCUUAGUUUACCAACCAAUAAAUUGAUAAAGGUACUUAAGAGCUUGUUUCCUACACAUGGCCUCCAGAUGGACCUACUCCUCAACCCCCACUAGCAGUUAUACUUCCUUAUAAAGUACAAAGGGACUAUAAGUAAAACUAGCCAAGUGACAAUUUCAGCUUGAUGCUUGAACUUUUUGUUAUAAUUUUCUAUACUGGAGGCUGUCAGUAUCAAGUGUCAUUUUACAUUUGAUUUGUGUGAUGCACAAAAAAAAUAAAAAAAUAUGAACAGUGAGUUACAGAUGCAAUGAUAGAUUUUCCUCAGCAUAUUUCUUGAGAGAAAAAAGAAAUAGAUUUUCAUUUCAACAAGCAUAAUUUCAUUUCAGCUUCAUAUGUUUUCAUUGAAUUACUUUGUUAGAAAAUUUGAAAUGCCAUUUAGUCUUAUAUUUUUUUCUGUUACAGGUAGCUAGAGCAGAGACCAGAUGCUGUGAUUGAUGCAAACAGGGAUAGACGUUUUACAAUUGAAAUGAUAGACUCUGAUAUUUGCAUGUAUUGUUUUGCCUGAUGAACCUUGCCCGUACAAGUGGCUAUGCCCGUAAAAGAGGCACACUUUUGCUUAUUUUGUUUGUUGUAUUUCAAUAUAAAAAGUAAUGGUAAAGGUCUCCGAGAUGAAGGUUUAGUGUUGUUGUCUGUAUUAUGAGUUCAAUAGCCUGUCCUGUCUGUCCGCAAUUAAUACUUUGUCAGCUUGUUUUCUAAGUAUGCUAUCCCAAUGAAAUGUUAAGAGACACUGGCAUUCACCAGUGUGAGUAAACAUGUUCACUCAUGCUGGUAGUGCCUUUGUGUAUUAAGUGUACUUGGUAGGCAAGUGUUGUCUAUCACAUCUCGGAGAUACAUUUAUCCUGUCACUUGCAGUAUUUUCGACCCGAUAUCAGGGUGCCGUAUAUCUUUCUUGAUAUACCGU
rnacentral:lncRNA from 1 species